rnacentral:lncRNA from 1 species
AUGCAUUUGUUCUCUCUCAUCUGUGUGGAGCAAGUAAUUCAAGUAAUUAUGCUACUUUUAUUUGUUUUUUCAGAAUUUCAUGGGGGAACUAACAGACCAAGAAGGAGACAAAGAGGAGAAAAGUGCAGGAUGAGAACUGUGCUCCUAACAUAUAGAAAGAUUGUACAGCGUCGUGUCCAUGAACUUCCAGGGUUCGCAUUAAAAUCUGACAGAACAUCAGAGUGCCAGAAGCUUCUCAUAUUGUGGCUCUGGAGAGCCUUGCUGUCUGGCACUCCAGGAGAACACUUGAGGAAUUCGUGCUCCAGGAGUAGGUAUGUGAUUUCUUGAUGAAAUGGGGAGCCAGCU